rnacentral:rRNA from 1 species
UACGUAGGGUGCGAGCGUUAAUCGGAAUCACUGGGCUUAAAGGGCGCGUAGGCGGGCUGUCAAGUUUGGGGUGAAAUCCCGCGGCUCAACCGUGGAACUGCCUCAAAUACUGACGGCCUCGAGGAAGGUAGGGGCAUGCGGAACUGUAGGUGGAGCGGUGAAAUGCGUUGAUAUCUACAGGAACUCCGGUGGCGAAAGCGGCGUGCUGGACCUUUUCUGACGCUGAGGCGCGAAAGCUAGGGGAGCAAACGGG